rnacentral:rRNA from 1 species
CUCAGAACGAACGCUGGCGGCGUGGAUAAGACAUGCAAGUCGAACGAGAGAAUUGCUAGCUUGCUAAUAAUUCUCUAGUGGCGCACGGGUGAGUAACACGUGAGUAACCUGCCCCCGAGAGCGGGAUAGCCCUGGGAAACUGGGAUUAAUACCGCAUAGUAUCGAAAGAUUAAAGCAGCAAUGCGCUUGGGGAUGGGCUCGCGGCCUAUUAGUUAGUUGGUGAGGUAACGGCUCACCAAGGCGAUGACGGGUAGCCGGUCUGAGAGGAUGUCCGGCCACACUGGAACUGAGACACGGUCCAGACACCUACGGGUGGCAGCAGUCGAGAAUCAUUCACAAUGGGGGAAACCCUGAUGGUGCGACGCCGCGUGGGGGAAUGAAGGUCUUCGGAUUGUAAACCCCUGUCAUGUGGGAGCAAAUUAAAAAGAUAGUACCACAAGAGGAAGAGACGGCUAACUCUGUGCCAGCAGCCGCGGUAAUACAGAGGUCUCAAGCGUUGUUCGGAAUCACUGGGCGUAAAGCGUGCGUAGGCUGUUUCGUAAGUCGUGUGUGAAAGGCGCGGGCUCAACCCGCGGACGGCACAUGAUACUGCGAGACUAGAGUAAUGGAGGGGGAACCGGAAUUCUCGGUGUAGCAGUGAAAUGCGUAGAUAUCGAGAGGAACACUCGUGGCGAAGGCGGGUUCCUGGACAUUAACUGACGCUGAGGCACGAAGGCCAGGGGAGCGAAAGGGAUUAGAUACCCCUGUAGUCCUGGCAGUAAACGGUGCACGCUUGGUGUGCGGGGAAUCGACCCCCUGCGUGCCGGAGCUAACGCGUUAAGCGUGCCGCCUGGGGAGUACGGUCGCAAGAUUAAAACUCAAAGAAAUUGACGGGGACCCGCACAAGCGGUGGAGUAUGUGGCUUAAUUCGAUGCAACGCGAAGAACCUUACCUGGGCUUGACAUGUAAUGAACAACAUGUGAAAGCAUGCGACUCUUCGGAGGCGUUACACAGGUGCUGCAUGGCCGUCGUCAGCUCGUGUCGUGAGAUGUUUGGUUAAGUCCAGCAACGAGCGCAACCCCUGUUGCCAGUUACCAGCACGUGAAGGUGGGGACUCUGGCGAGACUGCCCAGAUCAACUGGGAGGAAGGUGGGGACGACGUCAGGUCAGUAUGGCCCUUAUGCCCAGGGCUGCACACGUACUACAAUGCCCAGUACAGAGGGGGCCGAAGCCGCGAGGCGGAGGAAAUCCUAAAAACUGGGCCCAGUUCGGACUGUAGGCUGCAACCCGCCUACACGAAGCCGGAAUCGCUAGUAAUGGCGCAUCAGCUACGGCGCCGUGAAUACGUUCCCGGGUCUUGUACACACCGCCCGUCACAUCAUGGAAGCCGGUCGCACCCGAAGUAUCUGAAGCCAACCGCAAGGAGGCA